rnacentral:rRNA from 1 species
GUCAUUGGUGAUUCAUAAUAACUUCUCGAAUCGCACGGCUUGCGCCGGGGAUGCUUCAUUCAAAUAUCUGGCCCUAUCAACUUUCGAUGGUAGGAUAGAGACCUACCAUGGUUUUGACGGGUAACGGGGAAUCAAGGGUUCGAUUCCUGGAGAGGGAGCCUGAGAAACGGCUACCAAUCCACGGAAGGCAGCAGGCGCGCAAAAUUACCCAAUCCCGACACGGGGAGGUAGUGACAAUAAAUAACAAUAUAGGGCCCUUUCGGGUCCUAUAAUUGGAAUGAGUACAAUUUAAAUCCGUUAAACGAGGAACAAUUGGAGGGCAAGUCUGGUGCCAGAAGACUGGGUAAUUCCAGAUCCAAUAGCGUAUAUUAAAGUUGUUGCAAGUUAAAAAUG